rnacentral:rRNA from 1 species
CGGCAACAGCUCAAAUUUGAAAUCUGGCCUCUUUGGGGUCCGAGUUGUAAUUUGGAGGGGAUGUUUCGGGUACGGUCCGGGCUUAAAUUUCUUGGAACAGAAUGUCACAGAGGGUGAGAAUCC